GACUCCACCACAAUUGUGGUGGAGUCGCAAAGUCCACAGCUAGUUUUCUUUUACAUUCUCAAUUAGAAAGAGCUUAGCUUUAAGCAAAUAAAAUAAAAUUGCACAAGCCCACCCUUUUCAAGCAACCCCACUCAGUCCUUUAUGAAAAUUCCCAUUUUUAAUGAAUUAGUAGUACCGCAUGCGGUGGCAAAGCCUGCCCCUCCAAUCCAAGCUUUUCUUAUCCGCAUGAUAGAUCAAUUCCAUUCAGCAAUAUUACAAAACGGAGGCAUUCAGAAGAAUGUAGACGGCAACAUUGCAGUAAUCAGGCUAAUGCAGCACCAGAAUCAAACAACCAGCCCAAGCAGCAAGCGCCACAUGUUGCUAUUCCAGUCCCAGUUGUCCGUUGGAUGGCCACCACAUCAGACGAACAAGAUGGUUAACCACAGUCAGUAUGACAGUCUACUGUAUGACCAAUCAGUAUGGAAUUACAUAUGGUAGUGCGCAGACAUCAGCUGACUCUAUCUGUAGAGCUUCUGACCAUACUUGGGGUGUCUCAUCAACCCCAAAAGAACCAACCUUGGGCUUUUUUAAUCGAGAAUCUCUAUCUUCGAAAAGCCAUUCCUGGUCAUCAAAAUCACACCAUUUUUCCAUUUUGGGAACUUUAAGGACCUCACUUGGAUAUUUGGAAUCAGGAUGGGGUAGUUUCCUGGACACUUUAGGUACUUGAUCAGCCUGUGCACUUGCAAGCAAAGACUUUGAUAUAGGCAUGGACGGUGGCUGUGUUGUUGAGGAGAUGGAUAAUGCCUGAGCUUCUAUUACACCAUU
rnacentral:misc_RNA from 1 species